GACGAACGCUGGCGGCGUGCCUAAUACAUGCAAGUUGAGCGCUGAAGGUUGGUACUUGUACCAACUGGAUGAGCAGCGAACGGGUGAGUAACGCGUGGGGAAUCUGCCUUUGAGCGGGGGACAACAUUUGGAAACGAAUGCUAAUACCGCAUAAAAACUUUAAACACAAGUUUUAAGUUUGAAAGAUGCAAUUGCAUCACUCAAAGAUGAUCCCGCGUUGUAUUAGCUAGUUGGUAAGGUAAAGGCUCACCAAGGCGAUGAUACAUAGCCGACCUGAGAGGGUGAUCGGCCACAUUGGGACUGAGACACGGCCCAAACUCCUACGGGAGGCAGCAGUAGGGAAUCUUCGGCAAUGGACGAAAGUCUGACCGAGCAACGCCGCGUGAGUGAAGAAGGUUGUCGGAUCGUAAAACUCUGUUGGUAGAGAAGAACGUUGGUGAGAGUGGAAAGCUCAUCAAGUGACGGUAACUUCCCAGAAAGGGACGGCUAACUACGUG
rnacentral:rRNA from 1 species